rnacentral:rRNA from 1 species
GAUGAACGCUGGCGGCGUGCCUAAUACAUGCAAGUCGAGCGAACGGACGAGAAGCUUGCUUCUCUGAUGUUAGCGGCGGACGGGUGAGUAACACGUGGAUAACCUACCUAUAAGACUGGGAUAACUUCGGGAAACCGGAGCUAAUACCGGAUAAUAUUUUGAACCGCAUGGUUCAAAAGUGAAAGACGGUCUUGCUGUCACUUAUAGAUGGAUCCGCGCUGCAUUAGCUAGUUGGUAAGGUAACGGCUUACCAAGGCAACGAUGCAUAGCCGACCUGAGAGGGUGAUCGGCCACACUGGAACUGAGACACAGUCCAGACUCCUACGGGAGGCAGCAGUAGGGAAUCUUCCGCAAAGGGCGAAAGCCUGACGGAGCAACGCCGCGUGAGUGAUGAAGGUCUUCGGAUCGUAAAACUCUGUUAUUAGGGAAGAACAUAUGUGUAAGUAACUGUGCACAUCUUGACGGUACCUAAUCAGAAAGCCACGGCUAACUACGUG